AGCGAACGCUGGCGGCAGGCUUAACACAUGCAAGUCGAGCGGGCGUAGCAAUACGUCAGCGGCAGACGGGUGAGUAACGCGUGGGAACAUACCUUUUGGUUCGGAACAACACAGGGAAACUUGUGCUAAUACCGGAUAAGCCCUUACGGGGAAAGAUUUAUCGCCGAAAGAUUGGCCCGCGUCUGAUUAGCUAGUUGGUGAGGUAAUGGCUCACCAAGGCGACGAUCAGAGCUGGUCUGAGAGGAUGAUCAGCCACAUUGGGACUGAGACACGGCCCAGACUCCUACGGGAGGCAGCAGUGGGGAAUACUGGACAAUGGGACGAAAGCCUGAUCCAGCAAUGCCGCGUGAGUGAUGAAGGCCGUUAGGGUUGUAAAGCUUCGUUUUACCCGGGAUGAUAAUGACAGUACCGGGAGAAUAAGCUCC
rnacentral:rRNA from 1 species